GAGUGAAGCGGUAACAGCUCAAAUUUGAAAUCUGGCUCCCUUGGGGCCCGAGUUGUAAUUUGGAGAAGAUGCUUUGGGUGUGGGCCUGGCCUAAGUUCCUUGGAACAGGACGUCGUAGAGGGUGAGAAUCCCGUAUGCGGCUGGUGCCCUCGCCCGUGUAAAGCUCUUUCGACGAGUCGAGUUGUUUGGGAAUGCAGCUCUAAAUGGGUGGUAAAUUUCAUCUAAAGCUAAAUAUGGGCCGGAGACCGAUAGCGCACAAGUAGAGUGAUCGAAAGAUGAAAAGCACUUUGGAAAGAGAGUUAAACAGUACGUGAAAUUGUUGAAAGGGAAGCGCUGGCAACCAGACUUGGGCGCUGCUGAUCCGUCAGGGUUCUCCCUGGGGCACUCGGCAGCGCGCAGGCCAGCAUCGGUUUGGGUGGUUGGAGAAAGGCGAGGGGAAUGUAGCUGUCUCUCGGGGCAGUGUUAUAGCCUCUCGUGCCAUGCAGCCUACCCGGACCGAGGACCGCGCUUCGGCUAGGAUGCUGGCGUAAUGGUUGUCAGCGACCCGUCUUGAAACACGGACCAAGGAGUCUAACAUCUAUGCGAGUGUUUGGGUGUCAAACCCAUGCGCGGAAUGAAAGUGAACGCAGGUGAGAACCCGUUAGGGUGCAUCAUCGACCGAUCCGGAUGUCUUCGGAUGGAUUUGAGUAAGAGCAUAGCUGUUGGGA
rnacentral:rRNA from 1 species